GAUGAAGAACGCAGCGAAAUGCGAUACGUAAUGUGAAUUGCAGAAUUCAGUGAAUCAUCGAAUCUUUGAACGCAUAUUGCGCUCUCUGGUAUUCCGGAGAGCAUGCUUGUUUGAGUAUCAGUAAACACCUCAACUCCCUUUUCUUUUUUGAAAUGGGAGCUGGACUUGAGUGAUCCCAACACUUUUCUCACUGGAAAGUGGCGGGUCACUUGAAAUGUAGGUGCAGCUGGACUUUUCUCUGAGCUAUAAGCAUAUCUAUUUAGUCUGCCUAAAAAACAGAUUAUUACCUUUGCUGCAGCUAACAUAAAGGAGAUGAGUUCUUGUGCUGACUGAUGCAGGAUUCACAGAGACAGCUUUGCGGCUGACUUUGUAAACUCGAUCUCAAAUCAAGUAAGACUACCCGCUGAACUUAAGCAUAUCAAUAAGCGGAGGA
rnacentral:misc_RNA from 1 species